ACGAACGCUGGCGGCGUGCUUAACACCUGCAAGUCGCACGGAAAGGCCCUGCUUUUGUGGGGUGCUCGAGUGGCGAACGGGUGAGUAACACGUGAGUAACCUGCCCUUGACUUUGGGAUAACUUCAGGAAACUGGGGCUAAUACCGGAUAGAAGCUCCUGCUGCAUGGUGGGGGUUGGAAAGUUUCGGCGGUUGGGGAUGGACUCGCGGCUUAUCAGCUUGUUGGUGGGGUAGUGGCUUACCAAGGCUUUGACGGGUAGCCGGCCUGAGAGGGUGACCGGCCACAUUGGGACUGAGAUACGGCCCAGACUCCUACGGGAGGCAGCAGUGGGGAAUAUUGCACAAUGGGCGGAAGCCUGAUGCAGCAACGCCGCGUGCGGGAUGACGGCCUUCGGGUUGUAAACCGCUUUCGCCUGUGACGAAGCGUGAGUGACGGUAAUGGGUAAAGAAGCACCGGCUAACUACGUG
rnacentral:rRNA from 1 species